rfam:Gossypium raimondii Chr08_contig_672, whole genome shotgun sequence.
AAUCCGUGGUGCGGGUUUUUUUGAAUCAACAUUUUGAACCGAUCCCGUGCCUCAUAAAAACUUUCUCCCUUCAUCUGUCUAAAGAUAACAAUCUUUCUUCUUAAUU